UUUAACUGGAGGAAGGUGGGGAUGACGUCAAAUCAUCAUGCCCCUUAUGACCUGGGCUACACACGUGCUACAAUGGAUGGUACAAAGGGCUGCAAACCUGCGAAGGUAAGCGAAUCCCAUAAAGCCAUUCUCAGUUCGGAUUGCAGGCUGCAACUCGCCUGCAUGAAGCCGGAAUCGCUAGUAAUCGCGGAUCAGCAUGCCGCGGUGAAUACGUUCCCGGGCCUUGUACACACCGCCCGUCACACCACGAGAGUUUGUAACACCCGAAGUCGGUGAGGUAACCUUCAUGGAGCCAGCCGCCUAAGGUGGGACAGAUGAUUGGGGUGAAGUCGAAGCUGU
rnacentral:rRNA from 2 species